GUGGAGCCUGGCGACUGCUUUGGGAAGUCCUGCUGGCAGGCACUCUGCCCCUGGGGGUGUGCAAAGAGUUGUCCAGUUACCUUGAUCUUCUCACAGCCUCCUCCCCAGGGCACCAGGAGAGACCAGGAUUGGAGGACGGUAAAGAACACACUUCCCAGAGGAUUCUUGGAGGUGGCUUCCUCCAGGCAGUAAAUCUACAGCCCAGGCUCCCUGCAUCUUAUGGCUCCAAUCACUUUGGAUCUCAUCGUCGCCUGCACAUUGCCAUACACAGGGAAGGAGAAGAGAUGGAGAAGGCAAAGACUUUCUGAAAGCCGUGGCUAAAAGCUGGCAUGUGUCACAUCAGCUCACAUUCCAUUGUAGAGACGGGGUUUCACCGUGUUAGCCAGGAUGGUCUUGAUAUCCUGACCUCGUGAUCCGCCCGCCUUGGCUUCCCAAAGUGCUGGGAUUACAGGCGUGAGCCACCGCUCCCGGCCUGGCAGGCAUUCUUGAGGCAAACGGGAAAUGGGAUACAUCAUAUAGUAUUAACUAAUGAAAUGCUUUGAUAUCUGGAACGUUUAAAAAAUAUUCCCGAUGGAGUAAGUGCAAAGAAACAGGUAAGCAAAAUGCUGAUAAUUGCUGAAACACAGGAUGUGUACCUGGGGCUUCAUUUACUAUCUCUUCAUUUUCUAUUUUGAUAUUUGUUGGACAUUCUCAUAAAAAGGAAAGUUAUGUUUUAUUUUCUCAUAAGCUAGUAAUGAAAUAGCCCUACGUAACUGAUAUUGUAGAGACAAGAAUAGGUGUAAUAGAGCUUAAGGUUUUCAUUUAAAAAACUAUCUGUAGACUUCAAUGGAUCUUAGGUGGCAUCCAUGCAAUAACACUCGUGGAACAUGCAGGACAGGUGUGGAGCUCCAUCUUCACACAGUGACAUUUUUUAUGCUUCUGUUUUCCCUAAGAGUGGAGUGAGAGGAUGAUUAUUUUAUAUCAUGGACUUCUUCCCUGCUAUACUUUUUUUAAUUAUUUUACUUUCACUUCUGGGAUACAUGUGCUGAGCAUGCAGGCUUGUUUACAUAGGUAUACAUCUGCCAUGGUGGUUUGCUGCACCUAUCAACCCAUCAUACAGGUUUUAAGCCCUGCAUGCAUUAGGUAUUCGCCCUAAUGCUCUCCCUCGCCUUUCCCCCCACCCCCUGAUAGCCCCCAGUGAGUCAUAUUCCCCUCCCUGUGUCCAUGUGUUCUCAUUGUUCAACUCCCAUUUAUGAGUGAGAAUAUGUGGUGUUUAGUUUUCUGUUCCUGUGUUAGUUUGCUGAGAAUGAUGUUUUCCAGCUUCAUCCAUGUCCCUGAAAAGGACAUGAGCUCAUUCUUUUUUAUGGCUGCAUAGUAUUCCACGGUGUUAUAUGUGCCACAUUUUCUUAAUCCAGUCUGUCAUUGAUGGACAUUUGGGUUGUUUCCAAGUCUUUGCUAUUGUAAAUAGUGCUGCAAUAAACAUAUGUGUGCAUGUGUCUUUGUAGUAGAAUGAUUUAUAAUCCUUUGGGUAUAUGCCCAGUAAUGGGACUGAUGGGUCAAAUGGUAUUUCUGGUUCUAGAUCCUUGAGGAAUUGCCACACUGUCUUCCACAAUGGUUGAACUAAUUUAUACUCCCACCAACAGGGUAAAAGCAUUCCUAUUUCUCCACAUCCUCUCCAGCAUCUGUUGUUUCCAAAUGUUUUAAUGAUUGCCAUUCCACCUGGCGUGAGAUGGUAUCUCAUUGUGGUUUUGAUUUUCAUUUCUCUAAUGACCAGUGAUGAUAAGCUUUUUUUCAUAUGUUUGUUGGCCACAUAAAUGUCUUCUUUUGACUUUUAUGUGGAAACAAAUUUAACUGCACAGAGAGGUGAAAAUUAAUUAAUAACUUUUAAAGUAAUUCCCUAAGUUUCUAAGGAUCUAUAUGUUUCCAUCUGACUUUAUUUUAUUUAAGCUCUUGAUUGAUGCUGCAUUUGGAGCAGGUUCAUGAACAUGAAUAGAGUUAAUCUGGGACAGAUUUCCCUCAUUUGAUUUUUUCACUGUUUCCAUCACAGAACUUAUUUCAUGCUCACCAUGUUUGCAGGCAUUGAGCUUGGUACUGGAGCCACAGAGCUGGAUCAGACAGACUUGUGCAAAUAUUUCAGGUUUUUUUUGUGGGGGGGUCAUAUUUAUAGAUAAAUAACAGUAAAGAGUGACGGGUUCUUAUGAAAAUGCAUACACAGUGAAGUAGAGGGUGAAAAGGAGGGAUGUGUUCUAUGAGGAGGAAGAGUGAUAAGAAAGUGUAAGGGGAUGUGUCUGUGUCUAGACAUAUGUGUGUUCACGUGUGUGCGUGCUUGUGUGUACUGCAUGUGUAUAUGUGUGGCCAUGCACCUGUGUGCAUGUUCAUGUGUGUGUGUGUAUGUGUCUGUGUUGAGGACUAAAUUAAUUGGGCUUAUGGAAGCAGGGAGCCACUGAUAGGUUUAAUUAGAGACUGACAUGAUAUGAUAGUUUAGGUGGAUUUCUCUGGGGGCUGUGUUGAGGGACAGUGGGGAGGAGAGCUAGAAGGAAGAAAAGGACACAUGCAUAACAGAAGCAAUAUCUGUCUAUGGGAUGGUGGAAAGAAUCAGAAAAGACUUAAUAAAACAUGUGACACUUUAACUGAAUCUUGAAAUAGACAAGUGUUGGAGGAGGGAGUUGGACCAGAUACUUCAUGCAAAGGGAAGAAAAGUGCACAAACAAAAUAUGAGAAACAAGGCAGACAGGCAUUUUUUUAAAAUUUUCGCACCCACUGAUAGACCAGUGAUGCAUUCACAUCGUCUGCAUUCAUGAUCAACAAAAGUGCUUUCCUAGAACAUGAACCUCAACCCAAGUGUCGCCUCAAGUAGUGUAUGCAUGAACUCAAGCAUUAAAUUAGAAUUGAUUUUUUAAAAAACUCACACAAACAGAUGUAUUAUUUAAAAAUCUUUAAAGCAGGUUUAAACAGUUUUCAGGAUUAAAAGCAGCCACUAUUAGAAAGAACAAAAAUACAUUUGACAUAAAUAUAAGGAGCCUCAAUAGAACCUCCUGUACCCAGUCAUUGUCAAUGCCACAUCCAUUCAUUCACCAGCCCUUAUAUCAAUGCUUGCUGGGCUCACUUACCACGAUCAGCACGUGCAUGUCCUUAUCUGAAAGCUUGCCACUCAAAUGUGCUCAGUCUUACCUGUGUGGCUGGGAGUGUUGGGGAUUUAAUGUCAAGGGAAAGAAUCUUCCAUCAAUGAAUGAUGAAAGUUAGUUUUCACAACUUCCGGUCCCCUUGGCCCUCAUCAAAGGGCUCCAGGUGAGGUUUGGGCUCCUUGCUAUCCUCCGAGUUUCCACGGUAGUUUUAAGCACCAUUGCCCGUGGUAAUGGCUGACAUUGAUACUGCACUUUUUUUUUAUUUAAGAUGGAGUUCCCCUCUGCCACCCAGACUGGAGUACAGUGGCGCGAUCCUGGCCAUCGCAACCUCCGCCUCCCAGGUUCAAGCGAUUCUCCUGCCUCAGUCUCUCAAGUAGCUGGGAUAUGGGCACCUGUCACCAUGCCCAGCUAAUUUUUUUAAAAUUUAUUUUUAGUAGAGAUGGGGUUUCACCAUGUUGGCCAGGCUGGUCUCGAACUCCUGACCUCAGGUGAUCCACCCACACUUUUUAUUGUUUGCCUACACUUUCUAGACUUGCUUCAUCAGCCUACUCCGUUUCUGGUUGAUAUGGUUUGGUUGUGUCCCCACUCAAAUCUUAUCUAGAAGUGUAAUCCCCAAGUCUCAAGGGAGGGACCUGGUGUGAGGUGAUUGGAUUGGGGGGUGGUUCCCGCCAUGCUGUUCUCAUGAUAGUGAGUGAGUUCUCAUGAGAUCUGAUGGUUUUAUAAGGCAGUUUUCCCUAUUCUUGCUCACUCUUCUCUCUCUUUCUGCCAUGUGAAGAAGGUCCUUGCUUCCCCUUCACCUUCUACCAUGAUUGUAAGUUUCCUGAGGCCUCCCCUCAGCCAUGCACAACUGUGAGUCAAUUAAACCUCUUUCCUUUAUAAAUUACUCAGUCUCAGGUCGUAUCUUUAUAGCAGUAUGAGAAUGGACUAAUACACUGGUCUAUCCUUCAUCCAAAUUAACUACCUGCACUGCAGUCCUUGUCUCAGGCUCUGCUUUGAGGGACCCCAACUGUGACAGCCGCAUUAGAAUGCAUCACAUACUGCAGUGAAAUUCUAGAGUGGGUGUUGUCAGGUGGUGAUGAUUGUUAGAUAUGUCAGUCUGUUUUCAGGCUGCUGAUAAAGACAUACCUGAGACUGGGUAAUUUAUAAAGGAAAAGGAGGUUUAAUGGACUCACAGUUCCACAUGGCUAGGGAGGCCUCACAAUCAUGGCAGAAGGUGAAAGGCACGGCUUACAGGGUGGCAGCAAGAGAGGAAAUGAGAACCAAGUGAAAAGGUUUCUGCUUAUAAAACCAUCAGCUCUUGUGAGACUUAUUCAUUACAAUGAGAACAAUAUGGGGGAAACUGCCCCCAUGAUUCAAUUAUCUCCCACCAGAUCCCUCCUACAACACAUGAGAAUUGUGGGUGCUACAAUUCAAGAUGAGAUUUGAGUGGGGACAAAGUCAAACCAUAUCAUUAGAUAGGACACUGGAGAAAGGCAAGAAAGAAAAGACAUCUGAAGAAUGAAGGGAGCCAAAGAAAUGCCAACAUUUUGCUUUUUGAAGAAAAGCUAAAUUAAAGUCAAAAUGGAUUUAUCAAUUUCCUUGGGUUCGUGAAUGUACAGAACUUUAUUAAGGUAAGUCAAAACUUCUCUUUUUAUACUUAACCCAACUCAAAUUGGCUUAUGUAGGGGAAACAAGAAAUCAAAACCCAAAGGAACAUGCCAGUUCAGGAAUAUACAGUUAGCUAAGCUUCUUACUGAACAAAUAAAAUCACAAAGCAUGUAUGCAGAUAGACCACAAGUGACUAUAGUGAGGUAGUUUAUUUCAGCUCUAUUUAUCUGGAAUUAAUGCUACACCAUCUGACAUAUUAAGCAGUUAUGCAUCAGGUAUCAGUAGUUACAUCUUCCAGUGCCUCUUACAGUUGCCCCUGAUGGUAUAUCUACUCGAAAGUAUGUAAGUGCACUCACAUUCUUCAACAUUUCCUCAUUAAAGCCAGAUGGAAUUGGGCUUCUUAUACUUGCUAUUCAUUCAUUUAAUAUUAUUAGAGUGUCUACCAUGUAGUAGGCAUUUUCUGUAAAUGCUGGGGAUAUCUUGAUAACAAAGACAAAACCUUUCCCCACAUAGAUCUUAAAUUUUAGUGCGAAGAGAAAGACAAUGACUAUUUUGAAGUUACGAAGGGGAUUUGCUGAUUUGAAUGCCUACUUAGGAGAUUCAGAAGUGGUUGGAUUUAGGUGCUUAGAUUAAGUCAUCAGGAAUUUCCACCUUCUACCCAUAACAGUGAGCAUCUGAAACUUACAAAACAAUAUUUCCUAUUUUACUUCAUUUUAUUUUAGAGACAGGGUCUUGCCUGUUGCUCAGUCUGGAAUGCAGUGGCACAAUCAUAGCUCACUGCAGCCUCAAUUUCCUGGGCUCAAGGGAUCCUCCCAAAGUGCUGGGAUUACAGGUAUAAGCCACCAUGCCCGGCCAAGAUACUCUAUUUUUAAUUUACAGUUUAUAUCAAGACACUGAGCCAGGGGAAUUUGAAGUCACCCAUCCAGUGGUCUUAGCAUCUUUGCUCACACACUGAAUGACUUGAUGUAAAUGACUGAAUCAGACUUGUUUGCUUAUAGCUGACACCACCGAGCAAACAUAUUCUCUCUUUCUCUGGGACAACACCUGAUAUGGUCUGGCUCUGUGUCCCCACCCACAUCUCAUCUUAAAUUGUAAUCCAAAUUGUAAUCCCCACAUGUUGGGGGAGGGACCUCAUGGGAAGUGAUUGGAUCAUGGUGGUGGUUCCCCCUGUGCUAUUCUCGUGAAAGUGAGUGAGUUCUCAUGAGAUCUGAUGGUUUUAUAAGGGGCUCUUCCCCCUUCAUUUUGCACUUCUGUCUCCUGCUGCCUUGUGAAGAAGGACAUGUUUGCUUCCCCUUCCACCAUGAUUGUAAGUUUCCUGAGGCCUCCCCAGCCAUGCCAAACUGUGAGUUAAUUAAACCUCUUUCCUUUAUAAAUUAUCCAGUCUCGGGUAUUUCUUUAUAGCAGCAUGAAAAUGGACUAAUACAGCACCUAUCUCCCAGUAUUGUAUUUUCACAAUGGAAGUUUUAAUCCAGGGAUGUCUAAUCUUGUGGCUUCCUAGGCCACACUGGAAGAAGAAUUGUCUUGGGCCACACAUAAAAUACACUAACACUAAUGAUAGCUGAGAAGCUAAAGAAAAAUCACAAAUAAAUCUUACAAUGUUUCAAGAAAGUUUACGAAUUUGUAUUGGGCUAUCCUGGGCUGCGUGCAGCCAUGGGCUAUGGGUUGGACAAGCUUGGUUUAAUCCAUAGAUGGAGCAUUCUACACAGCUCCCUUAAAGAUGUUCCAGAAGUGCUGACUCUGUGUCAGGCACCAUGUUCACCACUUAGAUGUUCGUUUAAUCCUUACAAAAGAGCCAUGGAGCAUGGACUGUUACUGUGGCAGAUGUGUUAGCCUCCUGUGGUUGCCAUAACAAAAUACUACAAACUGCGUGGCUUAAAACACCAGGAAUUUAUUCUCACUGUUCUAAAAGACGGAAGUCCGAAAUCCAGGAGUCAACAGGGCUGUGCUCCUUUUUGAGGCUCUAGGGAAGAAUACUUCCUCCCCUCUUCCAGCUUCUGCUGGCCACAGGUGUUCCUCGGCUUGUGGCCACAUCACUCCAAUUGCUGCCUCCAUCCCACAUAGCCUUCUUCCCUAUGUGUGUGUUCUCACAUGGUCUUUGUAUAAGGAUAUCAGUUAUGGGAUUUAGUUCCUACCAUAAUCCAUCAUGAACUCUACUGCACUAAUUACGUCUACAAAGGCCUUAUUGCCAAAUAAGGUCACAUUCUGGGGUUUCAGGUGAAUAUAAAUUUUGGAAGGACACUAUUCAACCCAGUACAACAAGUAAAAUUUAAAAAGGCACCCUUUUACCUUGGCAUGUUAUCUCACUUGAUUUUUAUAACAGCCCUGUAGAUUAAACAGAUAAUAUGUUAUAUUCCCACUUCUAGAUAUCAUCACCCAUUAUUUGAGAGAAUGGAAAUGAAGUUCAGGGCUGUUAACACUCCUGCCACUGAAACAUCCCAGGCCAGUGACCUUUUCAUGUCUGACCUAACAGGUGGUUUCCAACCACAGUUACUUGUGACAUCAUUCCAUCACUCCCCAUACACAUUCCCUGUAGAUCAACUUAUCUGGCCCUACAAUUAUAGUUACAGGGAAUUUUACAUUCUUCAUCUUCCACAGGCAACUGAAUCUUCUGGGACAAAAAGCAUAUGUUCUCCCAUAGUAAUAAAAUUUCCCUUUUUUAGCCUGGCAUGUGACUGCCAAUAAUAACACUUCCCAGACUCUCAGGUGUCCACGUCUAUCCAAAGGGAAAUAUAGUCAGUGAUAACUUCCAGACAUAGAUGAAACAUGCCACACCUUAUAGUCACUUUAUGGGGUUCAUUCUCUCUUCCCAUAGACUGUCAUGCUGUCAUCAUGGCUGGAUCUGAUACGGCCACCGUGGACCUUGAGGUGACCUCGGGAAUGGAGACAGUGCAUGGGAGAGAAUCACAUUGGAAGGGGCCUGGGUUUCUGAAGACCCUGUAAGACAGAUCUCCUUGCAGCCCUGACUGCCCACAUUAGGGCUUUUAUGUUAGGGUGAAGUUACCUUGCAUUGUCAUAUAAGCAAUUGCUAUUUGUGGUGUCUUGCAAAUAAACCUAUUCUGAUCUAGUAUGUUUCCUAAAAAACAAAAGUUUGAACCCAGCUCUUUACGUGUUACAUGUUCUGAAUACAAAAAUAAGACCCAGUUUCUGCCCCCUAGCAGGACCCAAAACCCCUCAGUGAAGGCAUACACCAUAGGAAUAAUCUCACAAGUACUUU
rnacentral:lncRNA from 1 species